rnacentral:lncRNA from 1 species
AAUGUCGCAAGUGAGGUAAUCUUCACACAACCCAUGUAAUGAAUAAGAAAAGAGGUACAUAGUUGGCUUACAAUCGCCACUUCACACAAUACAUGAAUAAAGCAUUACAUCAACCAGAUACAAUCAAGGUAUGACUAUGGAACCAAAAUAAAAGAAGACUACCCCAAAUGCCACAGAUCCCCUGAUCGCCCCGACUGGGCUCCACUACUGAUCAACUGAAACGAAACAACACAAUGAACAAGAUCUUCAUCGAGCUCCUCCUUGAGCUCAGUUGCAUCACCUGCACGAUAUCAUCGGCACCUGCAAGCUGUUUUUGAAGGAAUCUAUGAGUCACGGGGACUCAGCAAUCUCACACCCUCGCGAUCAAGACUAUUUAAGCUUAUGGGUAAGGUAGAAUGUAUGAGGUGGAGCUGCAGCAAGCACUAGCAUAUCUGGUGGCUAACUUACGCAAAUGAGAGCGAGAAGAGAAGGCAAAGCACGUUCGAGAAUCUAUGAUCAAGAAGCGAUCCUGAAUUUACUUACGUUCAAGCAUAACUCCAACACCGUGUUCACUUCCCAGACCCCGCCGAGAAGAGACCAUCACGGCUACACACGCGGUUGAUCCAUUUUAAUUAAGUUAAACUUCAGGUUUUCUACAACCAAACAUUAACAAAUUCCCAUCUGCCCAUAACCACGGGCACGGCUUUCGAAAGUUCAAAACCCUGCAGGGGUGUCCCAACUUAGCCCAUCACAAGCUCUCACGGUCAACGAAGGAUAUUCCUUCUCCCGAGAAGACCCGAUCAGUCUCGGAAUCCCAGUUACAAGACAUUUUGACAAUGGUAAAACAAGACCAGCAAGACCGCCCGAUGCGCCGACAUCCCGAUAGGAGCUGCACAUAUCUCGUUCUCAGGGCAACACCGGAUGAACACUACGUACAACUAAAACCAACCCUCAAGUUUCCCCGAGGUGGCGCUGCAAGUGGCUCUGUUUCGGACCAACACUUAGAGAAGCACUGGCCCGGGGGGUUAAAAUAAAGAUGACCCUCGGGAGCGCGACUCCCAAGGGAAAAGUAGGUGGUGGUGAGGCAAAUGGUAAAACCAUGGUUGGGCCUUGCUGGAGGAGUUUUAUUCAAAGCGAACUGUCAAGGGGUCCCCCUAACACCCAACCGUGUAAGGAACGCAAAAUCAAGGAACAUAACACCGGUAUGACGGAAACUAGGGCGGCAAGAGUGGAACAAAACACCAGGCAUAAGGUCGAGCCUUCCACCCUUUACCAAGUAUAUAGAUGCAUUAAUUAAAUAAGAGAUAUUGUGAUAUCCCAACAAAUAUCCAUGUUCCAACAAGGAACAAACUCCAAUCUUCACCUACAACUAACAACGCUAUAAGAGGGGCUGAGCAAAGCAGUAACAUAGCCAAACAACGGCUUGCUAGGACAAGGUGCGUUAGAGGCUUGACAUGGCAAUAUGGGAGGCAUGAUAAAGCAUGUGGCAGGUAUCGCGGCAUAGGCAUAGCAAUAGAGGGAGCAACUAGCAAGCAAAGAUAGAAGUGAUUUCGAGGGUAUGGUCAUCUUGCCUGAGAUCACGGAAGGAAGAAGAACGAGUCCAUGAAGAAGACAAAUGGACGUAGUCGAACAGAUCGUCACAAACGUGACGUUAUCGAAACCCACCCGAAGAAGCAACACCGGAAAGGAGCAAACAACAUAGUAAACAACCACCACAUAACCAUGGCAUGAUGCACAAUCAAGUAUGAUGCAUGUCCGGUUUAAAUAUGCAUGGCAUGGCAAAGUGCACAAACAAAACUACAAGUUAAAUGGAGCCCAAUAUGCAUCGGGAUGCAUAUUGACGGAACACCACAUCAAUUAUUUAGUUCUCUCUUGGUUAUGUACCCAACAAUAUUAAAUGUUCUUAACAUGGCAAGAGGUGGAGCAUAAGCAAACUAAACAUUUAGGCAAGUUUAAAUGAGGCCGGAAACAUCAAACAAGUCCGGAAAAGUCCUCAUGUGCAAUUUAUGGAUUUGGUACUGUUCUGCCCUAAACACAAUUUUAGAGUUGUUAGACAUGCAAAGUGAUGCCACCAGGUUAAACUAUGCAUUUUUUUACCCCAUUCACAUAUAAAGUUUAUUAAAUUUGGUGCUACGGUUAUUAAGUUAUGAAUUAAAGCAAUUUAGCAAGUUAUUUAAGCAAAUUUAUACAAACAGCAUUUUAAACAUUUUAAACAUGGAUGAAAAUGACAUAUUAUGAAACUAGAUGAAAACCUAAGCAAGUUUCAUAUGUAAUUUAUUUUAAAAAGAUGCACCGUUUGUGAGUUAUUAAAUGCAUGAAACAGGAGGGUUUUUCUGUAAAAAAAAUUGUAGUCUCAGGAUAAAUGGACAAAUUCGCAGCGCAUAGGAAAAACAACUAUGGGCUGAAUCUGAGAAGAACUGGACUGCUCACCCAUGGGCUUGGCCCGGUGAGACAGAGGCAAACUGGGCCGGCUGGGGUGAGGAGUGUGCGCUGGGCCUUGUGCAAGGAGGCCCAGGCGCGGGCGACGGGCGCUGCUGGAGCUGGGCUUCACGCGAGG